rnacentral:rRNA from 1 species
UGGGGAAUAUUGCACAAUGGGCGAAAGCCUGAUGCAGCCAUGCCGCGUGAGUGAAGAAGGCCCUAGGGUUGUAAAGCUCUUUCACCGGGGAAGAUAAUGACGGUACCCGGAGAAGAAGCCCCGGCUAACUCCGUGCCAGCAGCCGCGGUAAUACGGAGGGGGCUAGCGUUGUUCGGAAUUACUGGGCGUAAAGCGCACGUAGGCGGAUUGGUCAGUCAGAGGUGAAAGCCCGAAGCUCAACUUCGGAACUGCCUUUGAUACUGCCAGUCUAGAGUCCGGAAGAGGUGAGUGGAAUUCCUAGUGUAGAGGUGAAAUUCGUAGAUAUUAGGAAGAACACCAGUGGCGAAGGCGGCUCACUGGUCCGGUACUGACGCUGAGGUGCGAAAGCGUGGGGAGCAAACAGGAUUAGAUACCCCCGUAGUCC